rnacentral:rRNA from 1 species
UACAGAGGUCCCAAGCGUUGUUCGGAUUCACUGGGCGUAAAGGGUGCGUAGGCGGCGCGGUAAGUCGGGUGUGAAAUCUCGGAGCUUAACUCCGAAACUGCAUUCGAUACUGCCGUGCUUGAGGACUGGAGAGGAGACUGGAAUUUACGGUGUAGCGGUGAAAUGCGCAGAUAUCAGGAAGAACACCUAUGGCGAAGGCAGCACUCUGGGACGGUACUGACGCUGAGACGCGAAAGCGUGGGGAGCGAACAGG